rnacentral:rRNA from 1 species
AUGCUCAUCCAUCAGCCGUACGCGCAGCUCUCAUUCGCCAAAGUGGGGGAUGCUCGGUGGAACUGGCAACAAAUGCAUAGUUUCUAUGCAGAUUGCAUACAACAUGAUGGCUGUUUCUACGCAAUGACUGAGGUAGGCGCAAUCGAUGAGUUUGAUUUGAACGGACCAUCUGUCGUCCACAGAAGGAUUUUACCAAAUCUAGUUGGGAUGGUCCAGAAGUGCUACAUUGUUCAGUUACCAUGGGGAGAUGUCCUCCAAAUCAUUAAGGAGGAGAGUUUGGAUCCUGAACAACCAGAUGGUGAGACAUAUGUCACUGCUUAUGAAGUGCACAAGGUUGAUUUUGUUGAGCUGAAGCGUGUCAAAAUGAGAGGGAUAGGUGAACAUGCAUUGUUCACUGGGAAAAGCACAACAUCUUGCUUUAGCGUAAAGAAUCAUCCAGGCUUGAUGGCAAACCAUCUAUAUUUUACUCAUGAUGAUCACGAAGAAUUACUCGGCGGCAAAGAUGAUCCACGUGACAUAGGAGUGUACGACUUGGAAAAUGAUACCAGAACCAAUUUGGUUGAUCCUGAACCCUGGAGGACGUGGUUCCCUCCCAUAUGGCUCACACCCAAUCUUGCAAAAGCAGAUGCCAUGUGCGCCUGCACCCAAGGGGUGUCAACUUCUGCAAGUACAAGCGUGGUAACAGCAAGCAGAUGA